rnacentral:rRNA from 1 species
UGGGGAAUUUUGGACAAUGGGGGCAACCCUGAUCCAGCAAUGCCGCGUGUGUGAAGAAGGCCUUCGGGUUGUAAAGCACUUUUGUCCGGGAAGAAAUCGCACCUGAUAAUACCGGGUGUGGAUGACGGUACCGGAAGAAUAAGGACCGGCUAACUACGUGCCAGCAGCCGCGGUAAUACGUAGGGUCCAAGCGUUAAUCGGAAUUACUGGGCGUAAAGCGUGCGCAGGCGGUUGUGCAAGACCGAUGUGAAAUCCCCGGGCUUAACCUGGGAAGUGCAUUGGUGAAUGCACGGCUAGAGUGUGUCAGAGGGGGGUAGAAUUCCACGUGUAGCAGUGAAAUGCGUAGAGAUGUGGAGGAAUACCGAUGGCGAAGGCAGCCCCCUGGGAUAACACUGACGCUCAUGCACGAAAGCGUGGGGAGCAAACAGG